rnacentral:rRNA from 1 species
AACGAACGCUGGCGGCAUGCCUAACACAUGCAAGUCGAACGAGACCUUCGGGUCUAGUGGCGCACGGGUGCGUAACGCGUGGGAACCUGCCCUUAGGUUCGGAAUAACUCCCCGAAAGGGGUGCUAAUACCGGAUAAUGUCUUCGGACCAAAGAUUUAUCGCCUUUGGAUGGGCCCGCGUUGGAUUAGCUAGUUGGUAGGGUAAAAGCCUACCAAGGCUACGAUCCAUAGCUGGUCUGAGAGGAUGAUCAGCCACACUGGGACUGAGAAACGGCCCAGACUACUACGGGAGGAAGCAGUGGGGAAUAUUGGAAAAUGGGCGAAAGCCUGAUCAAGCAAUGCCGCGUGAGUGAUGAAGGCCUUAGGGUUGUAAAGCUCUUUUAACCGGGAUGAUAAUGACAGUACCGGGAGAAUAAGCUCCGGCUAACUCCGUG